UGAGUGUAGUUGCCGGCAGUUUGAUAGAAUUGGGAUAUUGUGUGCCCAUGCUCUUAAAGUUCUUGAUUUGAUGAGUAUUAAGUUACUACCCCCACAAUACGUGUUAAAACGAUGGACACGAGAAGCACGAAGUGGAACCAUACAAGACAAGCAGGGGAGAAAUAUAAUUGAAAAUCCAAAUAUGGAUACUUUGCUUCGCUGUCGAUAUAUGUCUAACAAAUUUCUUAAUUUGGCAUAUAGAGCUGCCAACUUUCCUCAAUGCACCAUGUUAGUGGACAGCACACUUGACAUCCUUUGUAAGCAAAUUGAAGAGAUGAUCAUUACAUGCCCAAGCACUUAUGUGAGUCCAUCUGUAUUUUCCACAAAUGAUACUCCACCAAAUGAUGUGUUGAGUAAUGCACGCUUAAAGAAAAAAGAGGUCCAAACAAAAACUUCAAAGCGACGAAAAAACUGGCUUGAUAAGAAACGCAAGUUUAGAAAAAAGAGAGAAAACAAAGCUACAUCACAGUUUGGGGAAGAGGCAAAUAAUGAUGCUGCACAUGCACAUGUGCCAUAUAUUUUAGUGGUAUGAUGAUGUACAAUUUUGCUUGUAUUGUUACUAAUUCUGUCCAUUAUUUUCUUAAAACCCUCUAAUUUUGAUACAGGAGGGUGGGCAAGAGACAUGUAGAGGUGAAGCACCAGCACAAGCACAAGCACAAGCUCAAGCACUAGUUGGAGAUGGUAUUGAUUCCAAAGAUAACAUGGGUGGCCUUAGCUUCACCCAAAUGCUAAUGGGACCAAUCAAAGAGGAUAUCUUUUACUAGAUGUUGGUGAAGUACUGCUUUUGAGCAAUCCUUGGUCUAAGUACGUUGCGGCUUUUGCCAUUUUGUAAUGUUCAGUUCUGGAGCAUUUUGUCAUACCGAGUUCAGUCCUGGAAGCAUAAACUGAAUGGAAAUGUUUACUGUCACAGAAUGACAGCACUGAAGUCUUGUGCCUAAUGUGCCACAUGGAAAUUAGAUUCUAGACCAGUAAUGAUUCAUCAAUGCAUUCUGUCUUAUAGCUGUGGUGAAAUACAUUUGACAAAAUAAUCAUGAUA